CCCUUAGAUGUUCUGGGCCGCACGCGCGCUACACUGAUGCAUUCAACGAGCCUAUCCUUGACCGACAGGUCCGGGUAAUCUUUGAAUCUGCAUCGUGACGGGGAUAGAUUAUUGCAAUUAUUAAUCUUCAACGAGGAAUGCCUAGUAGGCGCAAGUCAUCAGCUUGCGUCGAUUACGUCCCUGCCCUUUGUACACACCGCCCGUCGCUCCUACCGAUUGAAUGGUCCGGUGAAGCGCUCGGACCGCGGCCUCUUGACGGUUCGCUGUCGAUUGGCUGUGGGAAGUUCGUUAAACCUUAUCAUUUAGAGGAAGGAGAAGUCGUAACA
rnacentral:rRNA from 1 species